rnacentral:lncRNA from 1 species
GAGUGAAGAGGUCUUCACUCUUAUCUCUAUAUAUACUAUUUAACUAGGAGCUACGUUGUCGUAUUACGUGCUUUCCUGCUCGAGAACGUGCCGGGCGUCUGGCUGUAGAAGGUGGUAUAGAGAUUUACCAAUAUUCAAGCAGUUUAUCGGUUUUUGACUGUUGGAAUAUAAACAACUGCAAGAAUACACUAUAAAUCUAUACGGAUGCCCUUCGACUGCUUGUCGAAGUCCUUUUUGCCCCAGCCGGUAGGUCUCUAGACGUUACAGAGAACCCCAAACAAUCCAAACUCCUAAUCUUUAAUACCGCUUUUUACUCACGAUCUUGUAUCCACUGACUGUCUUGUUAGAUUAAUCCAAUAAAUUUCAUUCACUCCGCAUACUCAAUCCUAUAGACACCCUUUUAACUCUUCAUUACAGACGUAACUCGAUUUCACAAAACAGUCAAGAGUAAUCAAACCCACUUCAUUAAAAAUCCCGAUUCACCAUUACAACACUGACUUCAGCAAGAAUUGCCUCAGUCUUCCCAAAACCCUAUAAAGAAAAAAAACCCA